GCGGGAAUAGCUCAGUGGUAGAGCACCACCUUGCCAAGGUGGGGGUCGCGAGUUCGAAUCUCGUUUCCCGCUCCA
rnacentral:tRNA from 1 species